rnacentral:rRNA from 1 species
UACGAAGGGGGCGAGCGUUGUUCGGAUUUACUGGGCGUAAAGGGCGCGCAGGCGGCGUAUCAAGUCAGGCGUGAAAGCCCCGGGCUUAACCUGGGAACUGCAUCCGAUACUGGAUGGCUUGAAUUCGGGAGAGGGAUGCAGAAUUCCAGGUGUAGCGGUGAAAUGCGUAGAUAUCUGGAGGAAUACCGGUGGCGAAGGCGGCAUCCUGGACCGAGAUUGACGCUGAUGAGCGAAAGCUAGGGGAGCAAACGGGG